CAGCCCUAAACGAUGCGCGUUAGGUGUAUCGGUGACCACGAGUCACCGAGGUGCCGAAGGGAAACCGUGAAACGUGCCGCCUGGGAAGUACGGUCGCAAGGCUGAAACUUAAAGGAAUUGGCGGGGGAGGCACCACAACGGGUGGAGCCUGCGGUUUAAUUUGGACUCAACGCCGGGAAGGCUUACCGGAUAAGACAGCGGAACGAUUGCCGGGCUGAAGACCCUGCAUGACCAGCUGAGAGGUGGUGCAUGGCGUAGUCGUGU
rnacentral:rRNA from 1 species